rnacentral:piRNA from 1 species
UCAUAGCACAGAAGGAUUGGCCCCA